rnacentral:lncRNA from 1 species
GUAAGUCACUUUCCUUCUAUCCAUAAAUCUUCCACCAUGUGGCUGUGCUGGAGUCUCUCUGAGCCUACUCUGGCUUGGAAGACUGCCUGAUUUGCUAAUCAUUCUUUGCUCAAAUUAAACUCUGUUAAAUUUAGUUAGUCCAGGGUUUUUUUUUUGUUUGUUUUUUUAAAAUCAAAUCUUCAGUGACUCUUUAUGGUGGUCAAUUAUGGCCAGGAUGGAUAGGAGACUACCAUGCAGAAAAGUAUGAGAGAGACUUGAAAACCAUGCAGUGAUCUUUAAAACCCUCUGAAUAUGUAUUUUCAAAUGCUGCUUUCAUAAGUCAUUAACCAUAAUUUAUUGAAUGUGUACUAUGUGUAUGGCAUUGUACUAGAUCCUUUAUAAACCAUAUAGAAUUUUUAUAGUAACCUUGAAAAGUAUGUGUUAUUAUAUCCACUGUACAUAUUGGGGGGACUGGAGGCUUAGAAAGUGGAAGUCGAGGCUUGCACACACUUAUUAUGAAAGGCCAGCUGGCAUGAUAGUGGUUCACCCUGAACAGCAGAUGGAACUGAUAACAGGCCCAUUAAAUUAUGGGCCAAAUAGUUUGCAACCUUAAGAAAUCCCUGUGAAAUGUUCAUAGAAUAUUAACUUCUUAUCUUAUCAAAGAAAAUUUUAACCCAUUGAAAUAUAAGAUUUGUGUUAGGGUCUGAAUGGCCAACCAUUUUUUUUUUUCUGUAUGUGUUUGAGAAUAAUGUGUUUUGCAAUUUUUACAUGCAGUAUUUUAUAUAAGCUUAUGGUACAGCUUGUUUAUUGUAUAAUUUAAAACUUCCUUGUCCUUACUAACUUUUGUCUGUUUAUUCUAUUGCUAAAAGUGGUAUAGUAAAUACACUACAAUAAUGCAUUUGUCAAUUUAUCUUUAGUUAUGUCACUUUCUGCUUCAUAUAUUUUGAGACCAUGUUAUUAGGUACAUAAAAUAUAAUAAUUAUAUUUUUUUCUGGCAAACUGAAGCUUAUUAUAAAUGACCCUCUUUGUUGCGAGUAAUGCCUUUUGCAUUUACAACUGAUGGAGACAGGACGCAGCCAAAAGUCCCUGGUGAAACCCCGCCUUCAAGCCUAAAACAGCCUGAAGGAUGAAAAACCAGACUUCUGGUGCCUGAUGAAGCCUGCCCUUUCCUGACUGAUUCUAAAUAAUGCCUACCUGCCAACUGGGAAGGCAGGGUGGAGCCUUCGGAAAUUCAUGACCUUCGCAGGGGAGAGGAGCUUGGCCUCUCCUAUUCCUGUGUGGUGACCUGGGAUUCAAACUGUGAGGCGGAAAACCUGCUAGCAGGAGUCUCGCUUUGCUGAGAGUUAUUUUUCUUUUCCUUUUUAUCCAAUAAAUUCCGUCUUCUCACGCUUCUAUGUGUCUGUGACCCUACUCUUUCCUGGUCGUGUGACAAGAGCCUGGUUUUAGCUGACCUAAGAAGAAAGUUCUGCAACAUUUUUGGUGUCCAGACGUGAGUCUUGAGGAAGGACAAGUACAGACAAUCACCAGGAACUAAGGAACAAGAAGCAUCCAACCCUGCAUCUGUGGGUUUCCUGAGGUGACUCUCAAUUGUCAUAGGGGUGAAGAGUGAGUGAGGAAACCCUUGGAGCACUUGUUUGCUUCACAGACAUCCUGACCUCCUUUCAACUGUAAAGACUUAGUCAGAGGACGGCGGCUCCCUCAGCCUCAUUCUGCAGUUCCAAUGACACUUUUUACAAAGGCUCUGUACUUGUCUGAUUCUUAAAUAUUCCAGUUUUUGAACUUUGCUGCAGUAGUUGUAUUCGAAAUGGGUUAAUUGUCUCAUUUUCUUUUUAAUGCCUACUCUUUCAAGGCUCAAAUCUUGAAUAGGUCAAAAAGAGCAAGAGGAAAAUGUCAGAGAAUGGAGAAAGGCAAAUACAGAGAAGCAGUGUGAACAUCCACCCGGCGAGGGUUUCACAGAGCCAAGCAGAAAAGGAGCACAGGUGACCUUGGCAGGAAGGCAUGCAUGGGAGAGCAGGUCUGCACUCUGGGACACCAGCCUCAACAGAAUACGAGUUUUGAAUUUUUGAAUUGCUGUUAAAACUUUCAUCAUGAACACUGAAGUGAGUGAAAAGAGACUUUUGCAGUCAUUUUUUUGCUGGCUGCAGAUGACAGUGACACCCUGGGAGUUGAGAAAUGCUUGUAAGAUGGAAGGAGGCUGUGUCCCUGAAUGAUCACCUGGAAGAGAGCCACCUUAGCCAAUGAAACUCCUGCUAUGAAUGUUUGCUGAGCAAGAAAUAUACUUACUGCUUUAUAUGCCUUUGAAGCUAUAGGUUCAUAUUGUUACCACAAUUUAAAGUGCUAUAAUAAAAAGAGUUCAGGAAGCAGGCACAUGGAAGCAAUAAGAGCAACAAACAUUUACACAGUUCUCAGGUCCCUGGACCAUGAAGGGCCACAUCCAAGGAGCUACCCCAGGAGGCCUCUCAUUUGCAUUUGUCCCCGCUAAUGCAGGACAGAGAUCAUGGAAGUUGGGCCCGACUGGAUGAGAUUUGGGGGUCUUUGGAAGUGGAGAAUGUGUUUGCCCUGGGGAAGAGAGGUGAUGUCUAGGAGACCUCUUCACUCAGGGCAAGCUCUAUGACCUGCUUUGACUCCAGAAUGUGGUAGAAGUGGCAUCACAUAAAUUGCAGAGCCUAGGCUUCAAGAGACCUUGCAACUUGCCUCUCACUGACUUGAAGUGCUCCCAUCAGAGCAUCUUGUAAGGAGCAGGUGGAGCAUGUGGACAAGCCAUCCCCACCAGCCCCUGAGACAUGUGAGAGAGGCCAGAACAGGCCAUCCGGACCCCACUGUGCUGGUGGAUGAGACAGCAGAAGGAAUAUCAACCUACCAACAGAAUCCUGAGAAAUGCUCACUCUUACUUCAAGCUGCUGCAUUUUGAUGUUAUGAAACCAUAAAUAACUUAUGAAGUCAUCUUUGCUGACUUAAAGUUUUCCAUAACUUUAUUAUAACAUAUCAAAAUUAUGAAAAAUGUGAAAAGUAGAAAACUGAUGAAUUUUGCUUCUUCAUAUGGUCUUUAAGAAUCUCAAAGGCACUGAAGUUUUUUAUCUUUUCUGUCUUAGAAUAAAAAACCUUGAAUGAAAAUCUGCUUCUUGGAAAAGCAGCAAGGUUUAUGCAGAGGCAAUCUGGUAUUUGUGUGCACUGGCAGCUGAUCAUACCCAGCAUGCACGCACUCUCAGGGCAGAGUCUGAUGCCCCACAUAAUGGGGCAUGGUAAGGACUCCCAUGUCCUUGAGAUAAAAUGAUAAGGAAAAUACACACUGCUAUUAGAAUAACAGGCCCAGCUUCUGCACAUUUUAAUUCCCAAAGUUUUCAUGAAAGACAAUGAUUUUUUGGUACCAUGUUUAACUCUACAAGAAUCAGUAGUGAAAACUAAAAAUGAUACUUUGUGAAAGUUCAUUAAUUUUGUUUUCAGCCAGUGGUGGCCUUGGUCAGAUAGAAUCAAAUCUAUGAUACUUUUUAUCAGAAAUGCUUAUACUGUGUACAAACCCAAAGUGAUGGCUUUCAAAGAUUGAAUUUGAUUAUUUUCUGUAUGGUGCAGAUGAAAAAUUACUACACAGGAGAAGGUGGGUUGGAGGUGCUCACGAGUAACCAGGAAACAGUCUGAAGUUUUUCUGAUACUUCUCCUUGGUCCAACCAAAUGUGAGAUAUAAACACAAACUUGGGAUUCCGUUCUUAUGUUUUGGUUGUUUCAGUCUUUACAGAUGUAUCGAAAGGCUGUCCAAAAAUGUCUGACUUCUGUAGUGUGCCUUCGUAGCACUAGAGGGUUCUGCAGCUGUGAAACUGAAGGCAUUGGCAAGAAGCCCUCCAUCUUCAAACCACUUUCUGCUAAGGUGUGGCUCUAUAAAACCACUAUGAGCUGGGCUUCACUGAGACUGAGUUGUUUCAGUAGGAUCUUCCGGAAAAACAUGUUCCCUCCUUUACCUGGGUUGUCAUUCUGAGAACAAUCACACCUCCAAUUUUGGCUUACUAAGCAAUAGCGUUUUAAUGAUUUUAAGCCAGGAUUUGCUCCUCCUUUCCUCAGUAUGAGAGCUUAACCACUGGAGGAACCAAGAAUUCAUGCUGGUUGGGUUCUGAUUCCACUUUAACUUACUGUAUAGCCUCAUCCCUUGUUUUUCUGGAGAUUCUCUUUUUCUGCUUCACUGAUUUAUAUUUACAUUAAAAUCAAAUGAGGCCAUGUUUCUGAAAUCACAUUGUCCCUACAUGGUCAUUACAAUGAGUCUGUAAUGUGACUGAAAGACAGCCAUGGAUACAGGUAGAGGAUAUCAGGCAAUUGAAUGCUCAUCAAGCAUUCAAUUCAGGGCAAAUGGCAUAAGGUAUGCAGUUGGCCUCUUCUGAUAUCUGUGUCUUAAUCCUUUCUUUAGCCUCUGUUUUCUGGACCAAGGCUAAGAUAUUUUCUGGGCACAGUGGCUCAUGCCUAUAAUCCCAGCACUCUGGGAGGCCAAGGUGGGAGGAUUUCUUCAGCCCAGGAGUUCGAGACCAGCCUGGGGAACAUAGGAGACCUCAUUCCUACAAAUAAUAAAAAAAAUUAGCCAGCUCUGGUGGCGUGUGCUUAUUGGUCUCAGCUACUUGGGAGGCUGAGGUGGGAGGACUGCUUGAGCCCAGAAGAUCGCAGCUGCAUUGAGCCAUGAUUGUGCCACUGAACCCUAGCCUGAGCAACAGAGCAAGGCCUUAUCUCAAAAAAAAAAAAAAAUUCUGAGCCUUCUAAUUUUUUUUUUCUUUAAUUAACUUUCUGUAAGCCCAGCAAGUAAAUAAAACACUUAUUUUAUGAAGCAUCUAGUUGCUUUUAGGGGAAGGGACAUCCUCCGCAUAGUAUCUAGGCCAGCUCACUUUCUUCUCCUUACUGUUGAUUUACUCUCUGCCAUUGAAUCUUCUGUGCCAAUGUUGGAUUAAUGUUUCCGGGCCCUACUUUCAUCAUGCUCCUCUGUAUUAUCACCUGUUUUGGUUUACAGCAAUGAUUUUUAAGGUAAGGCAUGGUGUGUCCAUCAUAGUCACAUGGGAACUUUUUCAAGCCAUAUUAAAAAUGUCCCCCAUUCAUCAUUCUGCCCCUGGAACAGUGUGUGCAGUUGGGACCUUCAAGUAAAUCUACUUUGUUGAAACCCACUGAUCAGCAUGGUGUAUUUCAUAACUCUUUGACUUACAUUCAAGAAAUUCCUUAACCUGAACUCCAUUUUACUCUUUUUUUCAUUCAUUCAAAUUAAGAAUAUUGCCUGAACAUGAAUUAUCUGCUAGACGUUUUUCUAGGUGCAGGAGGAGUAAGGAUGAACAUAACUAGCCAUAACUAUAGCUAUCAAUUGUGGAGUGUCUGUUAUGUGCCAGGCACUUUUAAGUGACCUACUCGAUUUACUUGCAUGACAAACUGUGAGGAAAAGCCCAAUAUUAUCCCCUAUUAACAGAUGAGGAAACUGAAGCACAAACAGCAUGAAUAGUUUGUUCCAGAUUGCAUCAUAAGAGGCACAGCCAGCUUUCCUACCAAAGCAGCCCUGGCCCAGAGUCCGUACUCCCUCCUCCCCUGCCUCUGCCUGGUGGAUAAGGUCACCCUGGCCUUGUGGAACUUAUGCUCUAGUGGGGACAAAUAGUUAUAGAGAAUGACCGAUGUUACUAAGAAAAUAAAAGCUGGUAAGAAAACAGAAGCACUGAGGAGGUGACUGAAGUGAGCAUUUAUAAUUUUAUGUUAUAUCCAUUGUAAAAUAUAAGUUUAGCUUUCUCAUACCAGAAGCAGGGCUCAGUCCACCCUUGACUCAGUUUCCAAUACUGUUCCCCAUCAGAAUGGCUCUUGCUGGUGGCCAGAAGUAAAACUUAGAAAUAUCUCUCUCAGAGACACCUAAGCAGGCUGGGCUCCCCGGUUUCCUGUUGCUUCCUUUAAAGAAGCUCUUCAGACAUCUGCACAAGAACUCAAAGUGACCACCUCUCAGCCCAGCAUGACCUACUGGAACUAAUGCCUGCUUGCUUUCAACCUACCAAUUAAAGCUCCCCAGGAAACCUGUUUAGAUAACACCCUGGACCCAAGAAAGGUGCUGGGCCAUGGGUUUCUUCUCUCUCUCCCUAUCUGUGCUCCCUGACCCCCUGUGUGUGUGUGGUCUCUAGGCUUGCCUUCUAUCCCUGAGGGUCUGUAAAUACUAAAAACACUUAAACUUUCAUAUUGUAGUUGUGUCUUUGAAGCCAGGUCCCCAUCCCGUACCUUGAGGGCAAGGCCUCCUGGAAGGGACCCAUGUAGGUGGAUCCCCUGCUGUCCAGGCCUCUUAGCUGCUGGGGUAGUGACCAGUUAAGUGGAUAGAGUUUCAUUCAAAACAAUAAUCAUUCAACUGUAUCUCACAUCAAACCUCUGCUCUAGUUUAUGUAUCUACUUUAUGUUCUUAGAAGACUGUGCAAACACAUUGUCUUUUUUGAGUACCUGUCUUGUCCUAGGUACUCUGCUUGGUACGGGGAGAGACGAAUCUUCUGUCUUCAGGGGCUUCCACUCCAGCAGGGAGAACAUGACUAAUAGUGACUGCCUGCUGCUGUAGGUAAUAAGUGGCUCCCACUAGGCCCUCCAUUUGGUGGCCCCCUGUCCCUCUCACUGGUGGAAGCCUACCUGUCCUCUAAGGACCAGCUCACUAAUGUCCUAGAUCCUCACGGACCAGAUUGCUUUUCUCAGAACUGAAGAGCACUUACUAAUGGCACCUCUUGUCAUAUGCCAUCCCAGGAUUUGAAUUUUUUUUUUUUUUCUGUCUUGUGGCCCAAAUAAAUCCUGAACUCCUCGAGGGCUGGGAGUGUAUCUAGCAGUUUCCUUAUACUGGACUAAUCAGAUGCUGACUAGGUAGCAGUGAGAAAAAUCUAGAAAUUCCCUUUUAGCCACAUCGACUUACACGAGGGGAUGUGUGUAAGGUACUAUAGCUCUUUAAACAAGAGGUGGUCUCGUUUGAAGGGUGGAUUGAUGUGGGUGUUCAAAUGAUGUCACAAGUGGCUGGUUUCUCUGUCUCCAUUUCUUUUUUUUUUGGCUCCAUUUCCAAAUUUCCCAGAUAGCACAGCAAGUUGGCCCCAGCAGCUCUAGACACUCCAUCUUCUCAGGGCAUAGCCAACACAAUAAAAUAUUUCAAGUUCCUGAAAGAUAGCUGAAAUAAGCCCUAGAAGUUUCUGGAUUGGGAGCAGAGCCAAACCUGCCAGCUCACAUAGAUGAGGGCAGGGAAUAGGGUGUCUCACGAUCACAGUGUCCUGCCUUCUGAUUUGCCUGGGACUGUCCUGUUUUGGCACCAAAAAUAUCUGCAUCCUAGGAAACCCUCAGGUCCUGGGCAAAUUCAGACAGUGACUUGCCCUAUCAGAAGCAAAGCAAGGUGCCAUUACCUGAGGUGGGCAAAUUCAGACAGUGACUUGCCCUAUCAGAAGCAAAGCAAGGUUGCCAUUACCUGAGGUGGGCAAAUGGAGGCUGGGUGGCCAGUGAGUGACCAAUAACCCCAGCAUUGGAGAGAGUGGAGCAGCCCUUCAAGAAGUUCCAACCUCUGCCCAGGACUGGUUUUACCAACUUCACUAGGCUUAGAAUCGUAGGAAGUCUAUUUGGGACUUGCGAGUCUCACGUAUUCCUGCCUAAAUGUUUAUGGAUACCUGUUUAGAGCUGAAAUCUUUUCAGCUCCCAUAAUAUGAGGGAAUUAGGUCUCAAAGAAGAUCAUGUAUUUUGAUCAGACCUUAUAGCUGAGCAGUGGAAAGAAAAAAAAUCAGUGUGAGAUCUCCCAGGGUUCCGCAGGAGUGGCUUCCUUAGUCCAACUGGCAGCCUAUCCUGGAAUAUUGCCUGGGAGAGAGGUUAGUUGCUUUUCCUGGUGCUAGGAACUGAAUGGUUUUACAUAUUGAUCAAUGAAAAUACUUAUUUGGCCUACAAUAGGUGCAAAAAUACUGCUAAUUACUAACAGUAUCUCUUCUUUGCUGCGUGCCAGACACUCCACUGGGCAUUAUGCAGUUAAUAUGUACCAUGAAUUUCCCGUGGUUAGCAAUGAUGUCAGGCAUAGAAAAGACAUGAAAUUAUGAUGUCAAAUGAAUAAACUGGAAAAAGGAAUUUCUUGAAUUUUCUCCAGCUGUCCUAAGAAUGUAUCUAUACUUUGAUCCUGGCCUACCUUUUCAACAUCUAAACUUUAUUCCCCCAAGCUUCUAGAUAUUCAAAGUUAAGUAUUAAAUAAAAUCAGUAAAUAUAUACAAGCUUGUUUGGCCAUUCUGAAUAAGGUUAUAUUUCCACCACACAAUCUCCAAAUUCUCUAGCAGAAGGGAUCAGUAUGUUAUAGAUACCCCCUUUCCUUCCCUCCCUGGCAAGCCACCACAUCUGUUAUGGGUACUCAAUGCAGUGGCUGCACCUGGGCCUCACUCAUUAAGCAGUUGUUGAUUGAGUGACUGAAUUGAAUGCCUGAUGAGCUCGCAAGUAAGAUUCAGACUGUGCCUGCAAACUAAUAGGAUCCCUCCGCUUUUUAUUCACUACUGCUGAGGUAGAUCUCAGGCCAGCCUGAAGUUUAGGUCUACUGAGAAAUAAUAAGCCUCAAAAAUCGAGCUUUGCUUCACCCAGUCUCCCAGUAAACACUAAGAAAUGUUCACAUUAUUUACACAUCCUAGACUGCCUGUCUUAUGGACCAAAUGUUUGUGUUCUCCCCGCAAUUUAUACAUUGGAAUCCUAACCCUCAAUGUAAUAGCAUUAGGUGCUGGGGUCUUUGGGAGGUGAUUGGCUAAUGGACCUGGAGCCCUCAUGAUGGGAUGAGUCCCCUUAUCAGAAGAGACCUGAGAAGGCUUGCUUCCUCUCCCUGUGCUCUUCAUGAUGUGAAGACACAAGAAGACAGCCAUCUGUGGGCCAGGAAGAGGUCCUCACUGGAACCCAACCAUGCUGGCACCCCAAUCUUGAAUUUCUAGCUUCAAGAACUUGGGAAAUAAAUGUAAGCCAGCCAGCUUAUGGAUUUGUUACAGCAGCCUAAGCUAAGUCAGAGUCUCUAGAACAGCUGGUCUGGGGCAGCGGUGAAGGGAGGUGGGUGGGCAUAUGACCCUGCCCUGCACAUGAAUGGCAAAGGCAACUGGAGAGCCUCUCCCUUUUGGUGAGAUCCCCAGUCCACAAGGGCAUGUUCAUCCAUAGCUUUACUUCCCGAAGCAAAUUCUGGUUCCUGGGGCCUGUGCCUCCAUAGAUGGCAUGAUCUGCAGCCUCCUGUGGUAAUUUACCCUCUUCCUAAAUUUCUGAGUCUUCACAUUUAAGCAAUCCUAGUUAGAUAUCCUCUACCUGUAUCCAUGGCUGUCUUUCAGUCACAUUACAGACUCAUUGUGAUGACCAUGUAGGGACAAUGUGAUUUCAGAAACAUGGCCUCAUUUGAUUUUAAUGUAAAUAUAAAUCAGUGAAGCAGAAAAAGAGAAUCUCCAGAAAAACAAGGGAUGAGGCUGUACAGCAAGUUAAAGUGGAAUCAGAACCCAACUGUAGUCCAUUAUUUGUUUCAAUCCUGCUCUUUUCUACCAUAUCACCCAGUUUCCAAAUCGUUCAGCAAAUUGCCAUGGUCAAUGGGAUUAACCUUUCCCUUUUAUUCUCAGGAAAUCUCCCUUGUCCAUUUUGCAAGACUGUGUGAUUCUUUCUACUGUUACAAGGAAUAAAAGCCUUCCUAAAAAGGUCUUUGGUGCCUUUAUUAUUUUACGGAUCAUUUCUGAGGGAAUUAUUGAACUUCAUUAUGUAACCACCCCUUGGGUUCACCUUGCCCACUGCCUAGACAGAGCCAAUUUAUCCAGACAGGAGAAUUGCAAUGGAGAAAGAGUAAUUC